ACCUCAUGAGCAGAAAACCUGGGAAGAAGCUCGAGAAAACUGCAAGGGAAAGAUUUCCGAUUUGGCUGUUGUAAUUAAUGCAGCAGAAAAGAAAUAUAUCAGUGAGAAAAGCUGGAAGAGUUCAGGAGAAAAAGGAUACUGGAUUGGUCUGAGAGUUGAAAAUGGGAAAUGGAAAUGGGUGGAUGGAAGUUAUCUGACUAAUAACUCCUGGAUUCAGCAGCCUCCUUCUGAUGGUCUCUGUGUAAUUUCUGUCCAAAAUGAAGGAUUUAAAUCAGUGAGCUGUGACAAGAAGAAACAAUGGAUUUGUAAAAAGAGACUCUAACUAUUUGAAUUACCACAGUUAGACUUCAGAAGACCUUUGUAAUCUACCAUGAUAUCAUGUCUACCAUGAGAUGGGAGUACGUUCACUCCUUUUCCAGAGUUUUCUGGCAUACCACACACAUCCUAAGGUCAUGAGAGAGGCCCUAUCUUCUCUUUCUUUUAUAUGGUAUGGCAAACACAUCUACACAUGCCAGAGGGGCCGAUGGCGCGAUAUGGCAGCCUCGCCUCUGUCAGUCUGCCCCAGGGCAGCUGUGGCUACAACCGUAGCUUGCCUCCACCAGUGUGUGAAUGUGAGCGUGAAUGAAUAAUGGCAUUGUAAAGCGCUUUGGAUGCCUUGAAAAGCGCUAUAUAAAUCCAAUCCAUUAUUACAUACACACGCAUACCUACACGUACACACAGACUGGUA